rnacentral:rRNA from 1 species
AGUGAACGCUGGCGGCAGGCCUAACACAUGCAAGUCGAACGAACCCUUCGGGGUUAGUGGUGGAUGGGUGAGUAGCACGUGGGAGCGUGCCUUUAGAUUCGGAAUAACUCAGGGAAACGUGUGCUAAAACCGAAUGUGCCGCUCGGGGCGAAGAGUUAUCGACUUUAGAGGGGCCGGCGCCCGAUUACCCAGUUGGUUGAGGUGAUGGCUCACUAAGGCGACGAUCAGUAGAUGGUCUGUGAGAAUGAUCAGCCACAUUGAGACGGAGACACGGCGCAAAAUUCUGCAGGAGGCAGGAGUGGGGGAUCUUGCGCAAUGGGCGGUGUCAAGAAGCAGCCAUGCUGGGUGAAUAAUGAAGGUCUGAAGGUAGUGAAAUUCUUUAACCCCUGACGAUAAUGACGGUACCCGGAGAAGAAGCCCCGGCUAACUUCGUG